rnacentral:rRNA from 1 species
UNUCCGGAUUUAUUGGGCGUAAAGCGAGCGCAGGCGGUUAGAUAAGUCUGAAGUUAAAGGCUGUGGCUUAACCAUAGUACGCUUUGGAAACUGUUUAACUUGAGUGCAGAAAGGGAGAGUGGAAUUCCAUGUGUAGCGGUGUAAUGCGUAGAUAUAUGGAGGAACACCGGUGGCGAAAGCGGCUCUCUGGUCUGUAACUGACGCUGAGGCUCGAAAGCGUGGGGAGCGAACAGGAUUAGAUACCCUGGUAGUCCACGCCGUAAACGAUGAGUGCUAGGUGUUAGGCCCUUUCCGGGGCUUAGUGCCGCAGCUAGCGCAUUAAGCACUCCGCCUGGGGAGUACGACCGCAAGGUUGAAACUCAAAGGAAUUGACGGGGGCCCGCACAAGCGGUGGAGCAUGUGGUUUAAUUCGAAGCAACGCGAAGAACCUUACCAGGUCUUGACAUCCCGAUGCCCGCUCUAGAGAUAGAGUUUUACUUCGGUACAUCGGUGACAGGUGGUGCAUGGUUGUCGUCAGCUCGUGUCGUGAGAUGUUGGGUUAAGUCCCGCAACGAGCGCAACCCUUAUUGUUAGUUGCCAUCAUUCAGUUGGGCACUCUGGCGAGACUGCCGGUAAUAAACCGGAGGAAGGUGGGGAUGACGUCAAAUCAUCAUGCCCCUUAUGACCUGGGCUACACACGUGCUACAAUGGCUGGUACAACGAGUCGCAAGUCGGUGACGGCAAGCUAAUCUCUUAAAGCCAGUCUCAGUUCGGAUUGUAGGCUGCAACUCGCCUACAUGAAGUCGGAAUCGCUAGUAAUCGCGGAUCAGCACGCCGCGGUGAAUACGUUCCCGGGCCUUGUACACACCGCCCGUCACACCACGAGAGUUUGUAACACCCGAAGUCGGUGAGGUANCCUUUUAGGAGCCA